rnacentral:tRNA from 1 species
UGGGGUAGAGCUUAGUGGUAGAGCACUUGUCUAGCACAUGUGAUGCCCUGGGUUCAAAUCCCUGUACUGAAA